GACCCCUGGCAAUGGACCAAGAGACACCUUGGUGGUGGUGGUGUUCUUAUAUCAAACAGGGGCGGAGCAGAUGGCAAUCCCUUUUCCUACUAGCUUGAUGCCUGGCUUGGUGGCCAAACCUGUCUUGUGCCUAGGACUCAUAA